CUUCUUUUCUCUCUUUAUCGAGUAUAGGCCAUGCUGCAGAGGAAGAAACAGCUGAAGAUUGCAGAAGAGAAGAAGAUGAAGGUGGAGAAAGCUAAGGUCAUUGAGGUCAAGGUCAACAUGUGGAUUGAGGAAAGAACAGCUAAGGAGCAGGAAUCGAGAAAAGCCAACUGGAGGCUAGAGAAGACAAAGAAACAACUUGAAGCAGAAGAGAAGAGGGGAGUCCAGGAGAAAGCAAAGGAGAACUAUGGAGAAUGGAGGAGCAAGAAGAAGGCUGCAAAAGAGAUGAAGGAGAAGAAGGAGAAGGAAGAACAAAGAGCUGAAGAAGAAGCCGAAAGGAGGAGGAAAGAAGAGGCGGAAGAUGCAUACCUGAAGUGGAAAGAAGAGGCCAAGACGAGACCAUUUCCCCUAGCUACUCAAUUUGGCUUUCCUCAGGGCUCUGUCAAAGUUUAGGCCAAGCUGCAGAGGGAGAAACAGCUGAAGAUUGCAGAAGAUGAAGGUGGAGAAAGCUAAUGUCAUUGAGGUCAAGGUCAACAUGUGGAUUGAGGAAAGAACAACUAAGGAGCAGGAAUCGAGAAAAGCCAACUGGAGGCUAGAGAAGACAAAGAAACAACUUGAAGCAGAAGAGAAGAGGGGAGUCCAGGAGAAAGCAAAGGCUACCAUGACAAGGCAAGCUACGCCAUUCCCAGCUACUACAACCCAGUCCCCUGGAUGCCUAUACACACCCCCAAAUAUCACACCAAGCCU